rnacentral:lncRNA from 1 species
AUUCCCCUCUUUUUCUGCCUUCUCCAAUUUUAAUUGAACAUUUUACUUGAUUGCGUUUUCUGUACUCUCUUAAUAUAUCUGUUAAACGUGUUUUUUGGUGGCUGCCUGGAGUUUGCAAUGUACAUUUACAACUAAGCUAAGUCCACUUUCAGAUAUUAUACUGCUUCAUGGAUAGUGCAGUUACCUUAGCGUAUUCCUAAUUCCUCCUCUCUUUUAUACAUUGCUGUCAUUUGUUUCCCUUAUCUAUAUACUAUAACCACCUAAAAGAUUUUAUUUUACCUUAUUAUCCUUCUCUGAUACUCUUUCUCUUUAUGUAGAUUUGAGUUUCUGACCUAUAUCAUUUUCCUUUUUGCUGACGUAUUGGCGACAACAUUCCUUGGUUUUUGGCUAAGAAAGUCUUUACUUCUUUUGUAGGAUAACUUUACUGGAUACAGAAUUCUAGUUUGGUGGGGUUUUUUUUUCUUUUUUCCAGCUUUGUCAACAUUUCACCCUAUUUCCUUCCUGCUUGCAUGAUUUUUGUUUUGCUUUGUUUUUUGAGAUGGAGCCUUGCUUUGUCGCCCAGGCUGGAGUGCAGUGGUGCGAUCUUGGCUCACUGCAACCUCUGCCUUCUGGGUUCAAGUGAUUCUCCUGCCUCAGCCUCCCAAGUACCUGGGACUACAGGUGUGUGCCACCACGCCUGGCUAAUUUUUGUAUUUUUAGAUCUUGAUGGAUUU